CGGAGGGUGCGAGCGUUGUCCGGAAUCACUGGGCGUAAAGGGCGCGUAGGUGGCGGCCCAAGUCCAUGGUGAAAGCUCGAUGCUCAACAUCGAGUCGGCCACGGAUACUGGGUUGCUCGAGCACUGUAGAGGCAGAUGGAAUUCCGGGUGUAGCGGUGGAAUGCGUAGAGAUCCGGAAGAACACCGGUGGCGAAGGCGGUCUGCUGGGCAGUAGCUGACACUGAGGCGCGACAGCGUGGGGAGCAAACAGGAUUAGAUACCCUGGCAGUCCACGCCGUAAACGAUGGGCACUAGAUGCUUGGGGGAGCGACCCCCUGAGUGUCGUCGCUAACGCAGUAAGUGCCCCGCCUGGGGAGUACGGCCGCAAGGCUG
rnacentral:rRNA from 1 species